UUUUUUAAAGAUCAAUCAAUUAAAUGAAAAAACAAAUAAAAAAAGAAAAUAGAAUUAAUAUUUAAUUAAAGCUGGAGUGGCAUUUUUGAAAAUAUGUGGAACUUUGCCAAAACGGCGCCGUUUCAGGCGCGGAAACGAAAUGUUUCCAUUGGCUGGAAGCGGCGCCAAACAAGUUUUCAAACGGCUAAGGCAAAUUGAAAGAUC
rnacentral:lncRNA from 1 species